GUCUGCAGCCAUACCACCCUGACCACGCCUGAGCUUGUCUGAUCUCGGAAGCUAAGCAGGGUCAGGCCUGGUUAGUAUUUGGAUGGGAGACCACUGGGAAUACUGGGUGCUAUAGGCU
rnacentral:rRNA from 1 species